rnacentral:lncRNA from 1 species
AAUUUUUUAUAAAUAAAACACUGGAACUGUCUGAAGACAUCAACUUCUCUUUCUUGACUGUGGUAAGUAUAUUCAUGAUCUUACUUAAUAACAAAUCUAUGUGUGGCCAAAUAAAAAUAAUUGAUGUUGAACCUGUUUCUCUCUAAACAAGUUAGUAAAAUUGAGUAAUUGUGCAUUUUUCAUGGACAUAAAAAGAACAACAGUGAAGCCACCAGAGUACCACCGUUCUCCACAUCAUCAUGGGAGUCAUGACUGUGUCUGUUCUCUGCAUCCUCACCUUCCUGGUGACUGGGGGUUCUGCAAUUCCAGGCCAGAAUUAUUGUAAAUAUGGGUUUUCUCGACCAACCUCUUCCUGGCAGAUUUGCUACCUUGCGGUCUCAGAGUUAAAAUCUUGGGCUAGCGCACAGGAGCUAUGUCGUCAAAAAGGUGGAUACCUAGCUUCUAUUGAGAACAACGAUCAGUUAGAAUAUGCUUAUGAGAUUACACCAGACGGAUAUUCCUGGGUUAACGGGAAUUCUCUGUCCGAAUUUAUCCAGGAGAACUGGGUGCCGGGUGAUGAGCCAGGUUGGACAAAUGGUCACUGCUUGACAUUGGUGAACACCUAUGGUUAGUAUCUGAAACAUAUUCUUGCUUCCAUAACAUAAGAGUCCUAAGAGCUACUGACUCACAAGAACAUUCUUCCCAACAGAUGGAAAAGGCUUUAGGGCAAUUAGUUGUUUAGAAACAGAAAACACUGCCAACGUUCUCUGCGAGGCCGAUGUUAUCUACUGAAGAGUCCACUCAGAGAACGCAAAGGGAUCUUGUUUUUGUACUAUCGCAUGCACACUUUUACUUUAAGUAAAAAUACCAAAAGAAAAUACAUUUGAUGUAUUCAAUGGCUACCCACAUUAUUUAAUCAGUUGUGACUGUUUUACUUUUUCUUUUUUCACAAUGGAAGUCCCUGUAAAAUAUAAUAAAUGACUUUAUUUUUCUUUCUUUUUAAAAAUAUUUUAAUAUUUCUACACUAUGAAGUACACACUGAAAUUGUGAACAUUAUAAUAAUUUCCCGUUUGAGUAAAAGCAGUUUGACAAAGAUGCAUGGAAUUGGGGAUUGGGGAUUUAUUAGCCAUGUACGGAUUAUUUAAAAAAAUACUAUUACAAAGAAUGCAUGUUUGUUUUGACACAAUACCAUUAUUGUGUUAACAGUAAAUUGUUAUUCAGAACAUUUAAUUAGUAUGUUGUAAAUUGUGUCUUGUUCAUUCAUCAUUGCUUUCUUGCCUCUUUUUCAAUAAAGACUUUCUGAAAUUAUUAAACUCUUGGGUUUUUCCAGAUUUUUUUGUGUGUCACAAAGCAAAGUUGGUAGAGUCUUAUUCAAAUAGACUAAUGGCUCUAAUUGCGGCCAUUGAUGUUUACCAAAUAUUGACUAAAGGGGGUGAAUACUUAUGCAAUCAAUUAAUUUAUGUUUUGUAUUUGUAAAUCCUUUUGUCAUUUUAUUUCACACUUUAAUAUAAUGGAUUUCUUUGUGUUGAUCAGUGACAAAACACUCUAAUUAAUCCUGAUUUCAUGUUAUAAUCUAAUAAAAUGUGUGUGGUCCAAUGCUUUUGAGAGUCACUGCCCAUACAAAUACUGCACAUUUGUUAUUCUAACAUUGUUUUGAAUUUGAGGAAAUGUAAUUAACAAACUAUUAAAAUGUACAAGAAAAAGGCAACAACAAUACAACUUCAAUAUGUUUGUCUAAUAGUUUUGUAGUUGGUCUUAAAUAUGUUUUCAUGGACAUAUUGAAGCAAUUCUAAUUAUUUUCAAAUGAUUGUACUGACCAUCUCACUGUUAUAUUUGGAAUGUCAGCAGCAGUUCAAAAAAUACAUGUAAAGAUGAGGACGGGUUCACCACUCUGUCAAAGAUUACACAGGCA